rnacentral:lncRNA from 1 species
AGCCGGUUUGCUGACACUUGUCUCCUCUUUGGCAGCACUUUGCCAGGGUAAGCAUGCAGAUUCCGCAUCCUCCAGCCCAGCCCAAGGGACAGCAAGUGGGGAGGAGGUGGAGGAAGGAUGUGGAAGCUGUGACAGGAAAUAGAAUGGGAGCAUCGACCAAGCUGGUACUGCAUGCUAACCUCCUUCCCCCACGAGCGGCUCAGGUGCUGCAAAAGUUGGAGCCGCACAUCCAUCAACAAGAGUCUUGCUGGCACAGCGGAAAGAAACUGUAAGAAGCUGG